rnacentral:lncRNA from 1 species
GUCUCAUGGCUUGUCUUCUUUCCCGAUUUUUAAGUUCCCGCCUAACUUCGUCAGGCAACUCAGUAACAAAGCGCGUAGAAAUUGUAGCAAUAUUGGUGUUGCGCAAGUUGUUGCUGCUUCGUGGUCGAACAACUCUUCUCCUUCUUCCUCGGCGGCGGCGGCGGCGGCGUCGGCGGUUAAUACCGUCGACGCUGCUGCUGCCGCUGCCGCAGUGCCUACCGCAUCUGAUGCGGUAGCGCUGGAAGGUUCCGUUGGGAAUGAGAGUUUGAAGGUAGAGGAGAAGGGUUUAGUUGAUUCCAGAACCUCUGUUUUUGAUUCCGACGGGAGUGUUGCAAUCCACGCC